UAUCCAUUUCAGGUUUUGAGUGGUGUCCAGAGCAGAUUAAGGGAAGAAAGACUCAUAUUUCAAAGGCAGAGGAGACCGUGGAUAUGCUGGUGCGUGCUGUGGAGGGGAAAGUCAGUACAUCAAGACCAGCAGACUCAGGAGAGGACCAUGAAGAUGGUUAAACAGGCAGAAGUGAAGCAGUUUGGCAGAGUUAUUUCAGAAGCUCCAGUUACAGUUUACCCUCAUUUCGCCUGGCAAGACGACCGAAGUUGAUGACCGUACAAAAACCUAAUUGCCCUUUGACCGCUUGGACACUAACAGGAAAUCUCCAUACAAAGACUUCCACAUAUAUCCUUGGGGAAAAGGGUAAAAUGGUUUGGACCAUAUGAAAGAUUUCUGAACUGGAUAAAAGUUGGCUCCUGAAAUCAGAGCCCAGGAGCAGCUGGGGAAGAGGCUCUGCAGCAGAGCAGACUGAUGGUGGGGGUCACCACGGAGAGGGAGGUGCUUCAGGUGCUGAUGGCUUUUUGAUCGGACUCGUGGCCAGAGCUUUGCAGCAAGGAAUUCCCCCGGCAGGCAUUGGUCACAGUUGGACGUUGACGAAUGCCUUUUGCUGCAUGGGAGCAGCUCUGAUGGACACCACGCCGGCGGUGUGCCGCGCUGGUGGGAGCGUGCGGAGAUUCGCGCUCUGCACCUCUGGUGACCGGUUCUUAAUUAUGGAGAAGUGUCCAAAUCUCUCUGAUGUCACCGCAUCACAACAGGCAACAGUUUUCCACAGUCGGACUUGUGUAUAAGAUGAUCAAUAGAUUUUUCUUCUUUUAAUAUCCAAAAUACAUGGUAUUUUAUCUCUUUAUUGUGUUAUUUACCUAUAGGACUUAAACCAGGUUUCUAACCCUAUUCUGAAAUGUCCUAUAAACACUUUAAUAAAGACAUUCUCUUAUACCAAGAAUUAAUUUAAUGCCAUUUCCAUUAAAGAUGUUGCAAAAGCAAAACAAUUUGCUAUGUGGCAUUCAUCACACCUAUGGCUUUUUGAUCACUAAAGUCAUGUCUAUACCUUUCUUUGCAAGUUAAAAUACAGGGUUUAGUUCAAACCAACAAAUGCCAUCUUCAUUACAAAGUGUUUCAGAAAUCACUGUGACUUCUAAAAUGUCUAAAUAUUCUAAAUCGCUGGACUUUGAAAAGAAAUCACCUCCUGGCUCCAUAGUCGCAUGGAGCUGCACAGCACUGAAACAGGCAAAGGCAGCAAGAAUGGCAGCUCGAGAAAAAAGUACCUUCUUUAACAUGUGGAGCUAAAUGCUACAACAUUUAACAGGGAUUUUAAUUCCACCAAUGUACAAAAAGGCAGCAAAGCCGUGUUGGGUCUCUUGUACUUCUCUCUUACAGACAAACAGUAGGAAACACGGCUGACCAUGAAGCAACAGCAAUGUCUUUGCAUAAUUUUUCUAUCAUGCUUGAUUUUGUUUCUUUGAGUACUUCUCCAAGCUUUGGGUUUGUUGAUGCUUUUUCUGUGUUUGUAAAAUACCCAGAGACUUGUAAAAGUCCUUCUGGAAAUUCAUGGACCUGUGCACAGAAGAUACUGGUGGCUGUACCUUCAGAAGAACAUGCACAAGAACAGGAGCUUUUUAUCCUGCCUCUCCCAAUCACAUCUUUAAUCUCUUCAUGUGGUUUAUGCCUGCGGCUUUCUGCAGAUGCCUCAGCACCUCCAGCUACAGACCAUAAAAGAGAACCUAGAAGGUAGACCGAUAAGGCUGGUGAGCCAUCCUCACCACACCUGCGGCAGGCUGUUUAAAGUAUCUUCUAUUUUCCAAUGAACUCUUACCUUUCAGUCUAAGAACCACUUAAGGAAGAAAACUAUUGCUUUGGUGCUUAAGGUAGUGCAGAGUGGGGAUUUCUAGCUACGUGGUUCAGCACCUGGGAUGUGGGGACAAACAGAGCUGCAGGGUCUUUGAAGAGAGGUGGAGUUGCUGACCUCUUGGAGGAUUGUCACGGAGGACUUUAAACAAAGUUUGGGGAGAUUAGCCCAAAAUGAGGGAGGAAGCAGUGUGAACGGGGAAGACAGAAGCAAGCAGGAGCGGAGAGGAAGCCACUCACCUCCCUGCCAGGUGUGGAGGGUGCUCGGUGCUCACCUCCCUCGCCCACACACUGACCCGCGGGGCUGUGCCAUCAGGCAACAAGUGGGGGUCAAUGCACUCUCUCAGGGCAAUGGGGGAGGAUUUAUUUAUUUUUUUCCUAUGGGAAGAAAAAAACAGGUCAAAUAUUGAAAACAUUUCUCAAAAAAAUGUAAUGUUCCUAUUUUCAAGUGUUGGGUUUGACAAUGAGGCAUUGUCUUCACACACAAACAAUUUUUAGCUGCUGUUAUGCUCUCUGCAUCACUAGUCAAAUUUUCUGCUUGGAAACUAGACUUUUUAGAAUUGUUUUCAUCUGCCCAAAGGCUUUACUUUCUCCACUAAAUCUACUACUGAUCUGUUCAACAUAGUAAACAUACCCAUCUUCUCACAGGGCUGACUUCAGGUUUAAUGCAUAUGUAUCUGCAGAACAGCAGACACAGUUGCAUAUGUUAGAGACUUCAGCUUGAAAACUGUUGUGUUGUCAUUUGUGGGAUAGGUUCCUUCUUCCUUUCUCCCACAAAGCUGUAAGAAAAUAAAAAAGAAAUUACCUUUCAUUGCAAGUCAAUUUGUGGGAUAUAAUGGCACAAUUUAGAAAGGAAUAUUGCAGACUGUAAGACCACUUGGAUUAGAAAUCUCGAAUCAGUUUGUAAGGAUAUAUAUAUUUCUAUAGUAUUGUGUUUUGUUGUGCGGGGAAUUUAAUAAGAGAUGUAAAUCUGCAAACAGCAAUGGUAUCACCAUAAAAUAUAAAAGAUUCAUGUAUUAUAAAUAGGUAUGAUAAAUAAAUAAUUUAUAUGAAUGUAUAUCUGGAUAUGUGUACAUGAAUGCACGUUCACUUUUCUUUUUGAAAUAAUUAGUGGCAAACUAUUGUA